UACGGAGGGUGCGAGCGUUAAUCGGAAUUACUGGGCGUAAAGGGCGCGUAGGCGGUGGGUUACGUCUGCCGUGAAAUCCCCGGGCUCAUCCUGGGAAUGGCGGUGGAACCGGGCUGACUGGAGUAUGGGAGAGGGUGAUGGAAUUCCAGGUGUAACGGUGAAAUGCGUAGAGAUCUGGAGGAACACCAGUGGCGAAGGCGGUCACCUGGCCCAAUACUGACGCUGAGGCGCGAAAGCGUGGGGAGCAAACAGG
rnacentral:rRNA from 1 species